rnacentral:lncRNA from 1 species
CCAAAGCUGGUCAACGUGUUGACUUCUAGGCCCGGCCCAAAACAUUCUUUACUUGCAAAACCGCAAAGUAACCCUAAGACAAACUCUUGACUUAGCCAACCUGCAAAAGAGAGAGGGGUGAGCAAUCGAAGAUUACUCUGCGAGGGUAAGCCUUAGGGCUCACGAAGUCUCCAUACACAAACACGUUUAGACAAUCACAAAGUCUAAACCUAAGACAAGCAGGCAAUCAUGUGUCAAUGACACACACACAUCAAACAAAUGAGACUACGUCCCAUAACCACCACCACACAUGCGGGCAGGAUACGACGUGUCCACUCACGCCGUCAUCCCGUACAUAUCACUCGUGCGUACCGGAUCCCUCAUGCCUAAACAUUUCUUCCGUGCACUUUCUCAUCUCGUCGGCUCGUCAGCCAUCCUGACCUAUCCGCUUUCCGCGUCCAUAGACCACCAUACAACUACAAGGAUUUCUCCAUGCAGGACUCUCCGCGGCUCACCCGCAUCUCCGUGCUCUUCGCACAUUAUCACCUCACACUCAAACAAUCGAUUUUACCACACAAAAACAUGCAUUUCACAUAUCACACAGCACACAUAAAAAUAUCCAUUUUAUUUUCCAUCUUUAAGAUACUAAUUCUUUUUCUUUAUAUUUUAUAUAAAAAUAUAUAUUUAUAUAUGUAUAAAUAUUAAUACACUCAACAGACAAAUACGAUUACUCAUAAUAUAUGUAACUCGCAAGUAUACUCGGCUUAACCCUAAACUAAGUAACUAUCUAAACAUAUCGGUAUACGAAGAAGACACCAACUUGUCCUCACCUUGGCAACUCGGUUGACUUUUGGUUUAGGCUAGCAACAACGGAAAUCUGGUUCAACGACGAUCUCGGUCUUUCUCUGCAACUUUUCUCGACGGCAUAACUUGACGGUUUGGCGAGGUGGGUUUGCAACGGUGCACUCCCACAGUGGCUACGUCCUCAUGGCUCAACCAUCAAAAGCAAAACAUGGCAACAAUCAAUCAAUCAUAACACAUAUCAGAAACUUCUUACGCAAGUUAAAGAAUAGAUCUAGGGUUUCCUUACCCUUAACGGCCUAGACGAUGGCUACGGCUGUUCCGGAGGCAGCGGCUCA